rnacentral:rRNA from 1 species
AUUGAACGCUGGCGGCAGGCCUAACACAUGCAAGUCGAGCGGAUGAGAAGAGCUUGCUCUUCGAGUUAGCGGCGGACGGGUGAGUAAUGCCUAGGAAUCUGCCUGGUAGUGGGGGACAACGUUUCGAAAGGAACGCUAAUACCGCAUACGUCCUACGGGAGAAAGCAGGGGACCUUCGGGCCUUGCGCUAUCAGAUGAGCCUAGGUCGGAUUAGCUAGUUGGUGAGGUAAUGGCUCACCAAGGCGACGAUCCGUAACUGGUCUGAGAGGAUGAUCAGUCACACUGGAACUGAGACACGGUCCAGACUCCUACGGGAGGCAGCAGUGGGGAAUAUUGGACAAUGGGCGAAAGCCUGAUCCAGCCAUGCCGCGUGUGUGAAGAAGGUCUUCGGAUUGUAAAGCACUUUAAGUUGGGAGGAAGGGCAGUAAGCGAAUACCUUGCUGUUUUGACGUUACCGACAGAAUAAGCACCGGCUAACUCUGUGCCAGCCGCCGCUGUAAAAC